GAAUUGACGGGACCCGCACAAGCGGUGGAUGAUGUGGAUUAAUUCGAUGCAACGCGAAAAACCUUACCUACCCUUGACAUGUCCGGAAUCCCGAAGAGAUUUGGGAGUGCUCGAAAGAGAACCUGCACACAGGUGCUGCAUGGCUGUCGUCAGCUCGUGUCGUGAGAUGUUGGGUUAAGUCCCGCAACGAGCGCAACCCUUGCCAUUAGUUGCUACGAAAGGGCACUCUAAUGGGACUGCCGGUGACAAACCGGAGGAAGGUGGGGAUGACGUCAAGUCCUCAUGGCCCUUAUAGGUGGGGCUACACACGUCAUACAAUGGCCGGUACAGAGGGUAGCCAACCCGCGAGGGGGAGCCAAUCCCACAAAGCCGGUCGUAGUCCGGAUCGCAGUCUGCAACUCGACUGCGUGAAGUCGGAAUCGCUAGUAAUCGCGGAUCAGCAUGUCGCGGUGAAUACGUUCCCGGGUCUU
rnacentral:rRNA from 1 species